UUUGAAUAUCUAUGCCACUACAGCAUCAAAUGCUGAGGAGAGCAGUUGGGGAACCUAUUGUCCCGGAGACUACCCAAGUCCUCCCCCAGAAUAUGACACCUGCUUGGGAGAUUUGUACAGUGUCGCUUGGAUGGAGGACAGUGACGUGCAUAUUUUGCGGACAGAGAAUUUGCACCAGCAAUAUGAAGUUGU